AACGAACGCUGGCGGCAUGCCUAACACAUGCAAGUCGAACGAGACCUUCGGGUCUAUUGGCGCACGUGUGCGUAACGCGUGGGAACCUGCCCUUAGGUUCGGAAUACCUCCCCGAAGGGGGUGCUCAUACCGGUUAAUGUCUUCGGACCAAGGAUUUAUCGCCUUUGGAUGGGCGCGCGUUGGAUUAGCUGGUUGGUAGGGUAAAAGCCUACCAAGGCGAGGAUGCAGAGCUGGUCGCAGAGGAUGAUAAGCAACGCUGGGACUGAGACACGGCCCAGACUCGUACGGAAGGGUGCAGUGGGGAAUACUGGAGGAUGAGCGAUAGCCUGAUCCAGCAAUGCCGCGUGAGUGAUGAAGGCCUUAGUGUUGUAAAGCUCUUUUAGCCGGGAUGAUAAUGACAGUACCGGGAGAAUAAGCUCCGGCUAACUACGUG
rnacentral:rRNA from 1 species